GUUAUAGGGUCAAGCGAACAAGUGCAUGUGGUGGAUGCCUUGGCGAUCACAGGCGAUGAAGGACGC
rnacentral:rRNA from 24 species